ACUUUAGCCCUGCAGGUAGUUACAGCUGAGCCCAGAGCCUGUCUCUGCUGCUUCCCCACGGUGUGACUUCAGACGGUUUCCUUAACUUCCAGAGCUCCCAUUUGUUGUGUAAUAAUGCCUACUUCAGUGAAAUGUGGGCGGGGUUAGAUGCAAUGACAUAUGGAAAACGCCCAUGGUAGUAAAGCUUGGCACAAAGGUGGAAGCCAAUGUGCCCUCUAUCACUUAUCUUCCAGACUCCCCCGUGAGCCAAAUACAGUUAUUAUUCACUAUUUUGCAACAGACUUUUCAUCAAGGGAGCUGUAUCACUCUGAAGAUCUUCCCACAGGCCUUUUGGGAAUGGGAAAUGGGAGAGCUCGGAGCAGACCUUACCAUGUGCAAAUUAAAUCAGCAAGCAUCA